rnacentral:rRNA from 1 species
GAUGAACGCUGGCGGCGUGCCUAAUACAUGCAAGUCGAGCGAACAGACGAGGAGCUUGCUCCUCUGACGUUAGCGGCGGACGGGUGAGUAACACGUGGAUAACCUACCUAUAAGACUGGGAUAACUUCGGGAAACCGGAGCUAAUACCGGAUAAUAUAUUGAACCGCAUGGUUCAAUAGUGAAAGACGGUUUUGCUGUCACUUAUAGAUGGAUCCGCGCCGCAUUAGCUAGUUGGUAAGGUAACGGCUUACCAAGGCAACGAUGCGUAGCCGACCUGAGAGGGUGAUCGGCCACACUGGAACUGAGACACGGUCCAGAGUCCUACGGGAGGCAGCAGUAGGGAAUCUUCCGCAAUGGUCGAAAGCCUGACGGAGCAACGCCGCGUGAGUGAUGAAGGUCUUCGGAUCGUAAAACUCUGUUAUUAGGGAAGAACAAAUGUGUAAGUAACUAUGCACGUCUUGACGGUACCUAAUCAGAAAGCCACGGCUAACUACGUG